ACCCGCUGAAUUUAAGCAUAUCAAUAAGCGGAGGAAAAGAAACCAACAGGGAUUGCCUUAGUAACGGCGAGUGAAGCGGCAAAAGCUCAAAUUUGAAAUCUGGCACCUUCGGUGUCCGAGUUGUAAUUUGAAGAAGGUAACUUUGGAGUUGGCUCUUGUCUAUGUUCCUUGGAACAGGACGUCACAGAGGGUGAGAAUCCCGUGCGAUGAGAUGCCCAAUUCUAUGUAAAGUGCUUUCGAAGAGUCGAGUUGUUUGGGAAUGCAGCUCUAAGUGGGUGGUAAAUUCCAUCUAAAGCUAAAUAUUGGCGAGAGACCGAUAGCGAACAAGUACAGUGAUGGAAAGAUGAAAAGAACUUUGAAAAGAGAGUGAAAAAGUACGUGAAAUUGUUGAAAGGGAAGGGCUUGAGAUCAGACUUGGUAUUUUGCGAUCCUUUCCUUCUUGGUUGGGUUCCUCGCAGCUUACUGGGCCAGCAUCGGUUUGGAUGGUAGGAUAAUGACUAAGGAAUGUGGCUCUACUUCGGUGGAGUGUUAUAGCCUUGGUUGAUACUGCCUGUCUAGACCGAGGACUGCGUCUUUUGACUAGGAUGUUGGCAUAAUGAUCUUAAGCCACCCGUCUUGAAACACGGACUAAGGAG
rnacentral:rRNA from 1 species